rnacentral:lncRNA from 1 species
UGGUCAAAGUUGUCCCCUACUUUGACCAGGAGAUCAAUCUUCUGAUAUCUCUCUGGUUUGUCUGUUUCCACCGAGUGGCCCGGUGGUUCUCUCCGAGUACUUCGGCUUCCUCCACCAUAAUAACAGACUUCCCGGUGUCCUACACGCUCCCUUGGGCGGUGUUGGGUGGGGAUUGUUCUGGUGGUGGGAUAAUAUUGUAAAGGACACAUCUCCAUUAAUCCUUAGGGAGUGUACAUGGAUCCGCUGUACCCUUGCAGUCAAUCAAGGGGUGCGUCUACAUUGGCGGAAUCUCGAGUACAUACAUACAUACUGAUG